CCUGGUGGCUCAGACAGUAAAGAAUCUGCCUGCAAAGCAGGAGCCCUGGGUUCGAUCCCUGCAUCAGGA
rnacentral:tRNA from 1 species